GCCGGAGGAGAGCGGAGCGGGCUCCCUGGCGGAGCUGCAGCUGCUGGUCCUAAGUCUGACCAGGAAGGUGGGCGAGGGUGAUGAACGUUACAGCCUGCUGCAGGAGCAGACUGAGAGCCUCAAGGAGCUCCUAGUCACAGAAAAGGCCGCCUUCGAGGACAAGGAGAACAUGUACAAGCAAAACAUCCAGACGUUUAAAGACAUCAUUCUGCAGAAAGACAACAAGCUAAUGGAGGUCAACCAGAUGCAUGAGCAGGAGCUCUUCAAGUUGGCCGCCAAGUCUGACGCCAGCGCUGAUCUGGAACAGCUCCUGAAGGCUCUGAAACAGAAACUACAUGAGAAGGAGGAGGUGCUGCAGGGUAAAAACCAGGUGAUUGAUGUCCUCCAGGG